rnacentral:rRNA from 1 species
GUCGACUCAUCAUUUCCUCUUGGUUGUAAAAGCUAAGAAGGGUUUGACUGUUCGUCAAUUAAAAUGUUACGUGAGUUGGGUUAAAUACGAUGUGAAUCAGUAUGGUUCCUAUCUGCUGAAGGAAAUAUUAUCAAAUUAAAUCUCAUUAUUAGUACGCAAGGACCAUAAUGAAUCAACCCAUGGUGUAUCUAUUGAUAAUAAUAUAAUAUAUUUAAUAAAAAUAAUACUUUAUUAAUAUAUUAUCUAUAUUAGUUUAUAUUUUAAUUAUAUAUUAUCAUAGUAGAUAAGCUAAGUUGAUAAUAAAUAAAUAUUGAAUACAUAUUAAAUAUGAAGUUGUUUUAAUAAGAUAAUUAAUCUGAUAAUUUUAUACUAAAAUUAAUAAUUAUAGGUUUUAUAUAUUAUUUAUAAAUAAAUAUAUUAUAAUAAUAAUAAUUAUUAUUAUUAAUAAAAAAUAUUAAUUAUAAUAUUAAUAAAAUACUAAUUUAUCAGUUAUCUAUAUAAUAUCUAAUCUAAUCUAUUAUUCUAUAUACU